CGUCACCGCCUUCGGGCUGAAGUCAGGCAAGAUCUGCCCCUGGGCUUGCCUGGGUUGGGUUCGUCACACUGGAGUUGGAUUUGGGCUGGCGGGGGGCCUCUUGCCCUGGCAAGGCUUGCGCGCUAGACAUGCUCUAAGUAAAAACUUAAAAAAAUGAAUAAAAUAACAAAAACUUAAAAAAAGAAAAAACAAACCAGCCAUAUCUCUUCCUUUCUCUCCCCUUCCCUUUCCUCAUCCACUCCAAUCCCAUCCCUACCCCGCAGCCACCCUACUCCAAACCUAGCCACCCCCCACCGCUCUUCUUCGCUUGUACCAACAUCACCUAUUUCGUCUCUCUCUCUUCAUCUCUGUAUCUGUCUCUGUCUUUCUCCCCCACCUAAGCAACCCCCCUCUCUCUCUCACUUUCAUGAGACGCAUCAUUCCUUGAAGCUUUCCCUAACCUUAACCCACAAAAACUCUAACAAAUCCCCUCAACAUGAUUUCAUAAUGCAAUGAAAUUAAGCUAGCCAGCAAGCUUUUGGUACUUUGUUGGGUGGGGAGUUAUUGUCUUACAAAUUGAAUUGAAAACCCCAUCAUUCAUCAGUCCAUCCUCCCUUGCGAACUCAAACCCCAGAUCCCAUGGUCCCUAGCGCACCCUUACUUGACCAGAGAACUAGCCAUCUUGUCCUAGCCCUAGGCACGACUUUGCCCAGCCAAUACCAGAGACCUAGCCACCCAGACUCACCUUCUUCUAUGCUCAUCUCAGUCUCUCCUCUGCCCCUCUCUGUGUCUCUCCCGAACCUAGCCCAGCCCCAGCCUCACCGCCGACGCACUCCGUCCCUCAUCUUUCUCUGUCUCUAUCUAUCUUUGUUUCUAUGUAGGGUUGGCUAUUCGAGGAGGAGAUUUGCAUGUCGUCGAAGAGAUUGUGGGGUUGGGUUCGUGACAACGUCAGCAUCUAGGUGCGGUGAGAACUCGAUCGGUGAGGUUGGAUCCAGUGUUGAUUGAUUUUGUACGAUUUCGGGUGAUGAAGUCGGGAAAGUUGAGGGACGGCUUGGUGUGGGGCGUGGGUGCCUAGAAGAGGGUGGGUGUAGGGUGUCGGGCUAUAAUAUUAUCAUCUUUCAACCAAAAAACAAAAAAGAGGGGGAGGUGGAUCUUGGAGCCAUGGCAACAGGGUGAGGAGAGAGAUGGGUAUUGCGAUGGAGAUCGGAGGAGGUUUUUUUGGGUGGGCUCUAAUAUUAUCAUAUUUCAACCAAAAAACAAAGAGGCUGGGGUUGGCUCAGAAAUUCCAGGUGCUGGGCUAGGGUGUUGGGUGGGCAAAUUUAGAGGUAGAGAGAGAGAGAGAAAGAAAGAAAGAGAAAGCGAGAGGGAGAGAUGAGAUUCCAAGGACGAUAGGCGAGUUGGCAUUGACGGCUGUGCUACGGGAAAGCAUCAAAGGGCUCGGUGUUUGUGCAGUGAGGUUGGGACGAUGAGUUUGGGGGGGAGGGGGGGGAGUGGGACAGGGGGUGAGUUGGGUUUGUAUUUUUUGCUUCUUAACUUUUUCUUUUUUAUUUUGAAUUUUCUCUUCUUCUUUUUUUGGUUUUUUAUUUGAUUUGAUAUUUUAAUUAUUUUAAAGAUAUUUUAUAUUAAUUUUUUGUCUACGUGGAACCCUGUUUUGCCAUAUCAGCAGUUAAUAGAAUUUUCAACCCUUCUUUUAAAGGAGGGUGUAUUUUGAAAGAUUCCUUGAAGUUGGGAUACUGGUCAAACGAGUCUUUAAAGGUUGGGAUGAGUUUGUAAUGACUUUAGUUGAUCCUAAAGAGCUCAAUCAUUCUUCUCUCUCAAGGUCACUGUCAAAUAGGGGUGGGCACGGUACGGUACGAUACGGUAUUGAGCUCGUACCGCUACCGAUACUGAGCUCGUAUCGCUACCGAUACCGGAAAUUAAAACCGGUAUGGUACAGUAUGGGAUUAUCGUUUGUCAAAGUUAGUACCGUACUAUACCGUUCCAAAUCGGUAUCGGUACCAUUUCUGUACCAAAAUAACACAACUAAAAAAUGAACCAAUUCAAUGCUCAACAUAUUCAUUCACCAAAAUAAGUGAUGCCUAAGUUAUAGAUUCAAAGAUUCAACAUAUUCAAUAUCCAAAUUCUAAUCAACCAAAUCAAUAUCCAUCAACAUAUUCAAUAUCCAAAUCAACAAAAUCCAAAGAAAUAAAAUGACAUAAAACUAACAGCUUCACCAAACUUAUGUAUGCUAAAAUCUCAACCAUGUUUAAGGCUUUCAAACCUCAGAAAGCUUGAAAAAGCUUGUACAAACAACAUAGCUCUAACAGUAGUAUAUAUAGAUAGAAAUAUUAAAUUUACAUAGCUCUGACAGUAGUAUAUAUUGGUUUUGCAUGAAACUAUCUAUCCAAGUCUCAGUCAAUCUGAACGGCUAAUAGAAUAUUCAAAAUCUUUUUGAACUUUCCAGCUUACAUUUUCCAAAAGGAUGUGGAGCACAUGCUUUCUUUGUAGAUGUGAUUGAAAGCUGUUGAGGCCCAAAAAAUCCACGGCUUGGCCCAAAUGAAUUCCCGGCUCAGCGCAAUACCUUAUUGAGAAAAAACUCAACUUUGAGCACACAAAAGUGUGCCAUGCACGAGUCACACUCCACGUGCCAUGCCAAAUAAAUAAUCCGUCAUGCUAGGAAUCGAGAUUAAGAUUAUAAAAUGCAUUAGCUCUACAAAUCAAUGCUAAUUAUCCCGUCAAGCAUAAUAAUUAAAAGCAUGCCAAGCGAUAUGCCAUGCCAAGCAGGAAAUCAUUAUUACACACCCAACCACGUUACAAGCCUAAGUGGGCCCAAGCCACUCGAAUGCCCGGGGCUUGCUUGAGUGGGUUGUGGUAUGGAUGGUAAUAAAUUGUCAUGAGGCCCAUUGAUGGGCCGAGAAAUGGAGGUUCCGGGUUGCUUGGGAGCCUCGGAACCCAAGCCCAUUUCUUAGGCCCAAACAUAUGGGUGAGCACAAAAGGAAAAAUAACCCAACCAAAAUAUCCCAACCAAAAAGCCCAAUCAAAAUGGUCCACUAAAAUUAACCCAUAUAGCCCAAUACUUGAUGAGAUUAGCCCAUUUGUUUGGUAGGUUGACUUGCUAUCUUAGAAAGCCCAUAUAAAUUAGAGGUAAGGGGCAGCAAAGGCUCCAACAUUUGGCUGAAAGACAAAGCCAUGGAAAGAGCUUGGAAGACCACGUGGGCUGCUAGAAGGGAAUGAACAAGUUUUCAAGCAAAACAUCCAAAAAGCAAAAAGAUAUUGGCGCACAAGGAGCCACCCUUCGAACCAUCAUGUAUACCAAGCUUUUUCCUUCACCAGAUCCGACCAUGAAGAAGGAAAAGAAAGGGAGAAAAAGAGAUAUCUGAAAAUGGGAAUUCAUCACUGGGCAGCUGCGGGAAAGGGAUCUUGAGCUCCCAAAAUCCCUGAUUUUGUGCAAAGGAGCAGAGUAGAUUUCACCAAAAUAGGAUGACUAAAGGGAUGAGGGGAAAAGGAAGGGAAAGACUUGGCAAAAUGGGAUGGAAGCCAUUAGGGUUUCUUGGAGAAAGAUAGCUUCCAGCGGCUAUAAAUAGGGCCUUUUCUAACCAACGAAAAUCACACACAACCAGAGAGCAAGCUUCCUCUCUUACCUGCAAAAACCCAGCAAUUUUGUGCACUAUUCACCCUUCUUCUCCAUUUUCCCUCUUCUGGGAGAUUGCUUUAGUAUUUGACAAAGUCACUGUCAAGCUGCCGGAAGAAACACUCAAGUCACCCUUUUCUUUCUCUCCCUUAUUUCUUAGCCAAAUCUACUUGCAAACCUUUCAUCUCUUAUCUGGGCACCCUCUCUUCCUUCCAAGAACACGUAAUCUUCCCUUUAGUGCUAAACUUAUGCCAAUUUUGCUUCCAUGCUACGAUUUCCUCAUGCCAAGCUAAAAACUCAUCUGUAAGCACUAAGAAUCUAUCUGUAAGCAGCCAUCAUUUUUAUUGGUGAAGGUAACCAAAGUGUUUCCUAAGGCUUUACUACCCUUUCGAAACAUUUUGGGGUCUAAUCUUUGAACUCAGACAUAGGGGAUAUUUUCUUCAGUUUACUCUUUACGGCAGCCCAGCUCAUCUGCAGCUGCCAGAAGAAAAAGGCCCCUACAAAAGCAAUGCAACUAAGCCCUCUAAAAGUCCUUUCCACAGCAAAAUAUAUAGAUUUCUCUAGUAUAAUGCAUUAAAGUAUUGAUCUCUUGGAAACUGAGGACAGAUCAAAAGAUUAUUCUUCAGUAUUCGGUACGAUACGGUAUUAAUCGGUACCAAAUAUUUGAUACCGCUACCAUACCAUAAUCUAUUGGUACGGUAUGGUACGGUACCGAAUAUAUCCCUAUUCCAAAUGAAAUCGGUAUGGUACGGUAUGGUUAGUGUACGGUUUCGGUAUUUCGGUUUUAAAUGCCCACCCCUACUGUCAAAUACAAGUCCUUGGCUAGAAAAAAAAAAAAGAAACACAUUUUCUCUUAUUAACGGAAUUUGUUUCUGAUAAUCACUACUACAAAAAGUGAAAAAGACGACCAGAAAACAACGACGGUCUCAGUGAAAACCGUCGUGGUUUUUAAAACGACGACGGUUCUAAAAACACCGUCGUUUAAUACCACCUUAGACAACUAACAAGGGAGAUUCAAAUGGCUGUUCAAAAACAACGACGUACUUAAUUAAACAACCGACGUCUAUUUGAAACAGAUUUCCGCAGUGUAAAAUCAAAGCGAACAAAGAACGGCAGAAGUUAUGAAUCGACCGACGUAGAAAGUAAAGACGACGAUUUCAAUAAAAGCCGCCGUUUUUACUUAUAAAAUAACACGACGAGGUUUUCGUAUAAGACGCUGUCUAAUUACAAACAAAUCCACGGCUGUAAAAUACAAAAUAUCGCCGUAUUAAAUUAAUUUACAACGACGACAAAUAUAAAUAUAUCGACGUCAUUAUUGUAUAGUUCUACGACGUUCUCUUUAAAUCGUACUAUAAAAUCUAACGUCGUAUUUAUGCAUUUUAUACGUCGUACCUUUAAUUUAAACCGUCGUCUUAAUAAGAAUUUUUGUUAACAAUUUUUUUCUUUGAUUUUCUUAUCCUACGUCGGUAGAUAUACUUAAUGACAAGAAUUGAAAUACCCACGACGGUUUAUAUAAAAAACCGCCGACAUAAUCAGAUUUUUCUGAGAUCCCAAGGGUUACGAAAUCUUACCAGAUGGAACUCUGUUCCACAUCAUAAUCUUAACAGAUGACACAGAUUUGAAAUCAGAGAGACAAUUUUUUGGAAGUUGAUGAUGUGUGUGCGUUUGUUUAUCUAAAAAUAUUAUACCUAACGUCGUUGCAAAUUUGCAAUCAGAGAAACAAUUUCCAACGACGGUUAUAUUAUACCUAACGACGUUUAAAACAAAAAUCAACGUCCCUAAACAAAUAUAUUACGUCGUCUUAGUCUUACUUAAGACGACGAAAAACGACGACAGUAAUACAAAAACAGUCGUUGUUUUUAUAUUCUUAUUUUAUUUAAAUUCCAGAACAUUAAUUUCCUUCAUUUUAAAUUUCCUCCGGAAAAAAAACUCUAUUUAUAACGCACUGUAAUUGAAAAAUAAACUGAAAGUUCAAGGGAAAAAAAAUUCUAUUCAUAAUUUAAAAAUUAAAAUCCACGUCAGUUAUAUUAAAUAUAACGACGUUAAAUGAAAUGAGUCCACGUCGAACUAAAAAUAUUGCGUCGUGUUAGUUAAAAACGACGUAGUUAAAUGUCACCGCCGUAUUUUUUUUUUGAAAUGGUUUUAUAUGUAAGCAACUUUUCGACUUACACAUGCACUGUUUCCAAACCCGAUUAAAAAUCUCAAUCUCCCAGAGAAACCUUUUCGUCUUUUUUCCUUGUCAGAGCAUUGUCAGAGUUUCUCAUCGUCUUCCUCUCGUCUUCUUCGUCGUCUCUGAAUUUAAACAUCGAUCAUCUUCCUCUUGCUUUCAUUGCACGCAAAAGGUAAGCUUUCAUUUUCACUAUUUUGGUUACUGUUUUGCAUGCUCAUACGUUUUUUGUUUGAAAAAUCUUUUUACCUUUUUUCUGGCCAAAAUCAUUUUACUUCUUUCCAAGUUUGAUAAAAUAUACAGACAAAGAGGGAAAGUUUCCAACUUUGAAGACAACUACCUCAACUAAAUAAGACGACGGUAGACCACGACGGUUCGUCAGUUGUUCUAGCGUCGUCUGAAAAUUGACAAAGUUGUUUUUAAUAUAAUAGUCUUUUUUUAUAUGCUUGUUUAAUUGCAGGUUUGAUUUCUCUGAACAAUGGUUUUUGUUUUUCCCUUAUUUGAUAAAAUAUAAAGAAAAAGAAACUAGGGUUGGUAUCUAAUAUAGACGAAAAAUAUCUUAUUGUUUUACGUCGUGUGAAUGUUAAUACCACGACGGUGUAUUACUAUUGACGUCGUAUGAACAUAAAUACCACGACGUUAUAUAAAUAAUAGUUUUACCACGACGGUGUAUUACUAUUGACGUCGUGUGAAUAUAUUUACCACGACGUUAUAUAAAUAAUGGUUUUAAACAUUUAUUACGUCUGAGAUUAUUUCAUUGCGUCGUCUAAAAUCAUAUCAUACGUCGUAUUUUUUUAAUACCGUCGUUUGUGUUCUUAAUGUUUUCCUGAAAUAUUUUCACUUGCAGUUUUGUCUGUUAAAAUGGUUUCUCAUCAACAAACUAAGGAUUCUGGCUCCAAGAAGCUUGGAGUGGUAGCUCCCCAAGACAAGUCUUCGAAGGAGAUGAAGUCUUCGAAGAAGAUGAAGUUUGCUUCAUCAUCUGCUGAUACAGAACCCACCAACCAGACNNNNNNNNNNNNNNNNNNNNNNNNNNNNNNNNNNNNNNNNNNNNNNNNNNNNNNNNNNNNNNNNNNNNNNNNNNNNNNNNNNNNNNNNNNNNNNNNNNNNNNNNNNNNNNNNNNNNNNNNNNNNNNNNNNNNNNNNNNNNNNNNNNNNNNNNNNNNNNNNNNNNNNNNNNNNNNNNNNNNNNNNNNNNNNNNNNNNNNNNNNNNNNNNNNNNNNNNNNNNNNNNNNNNNNNNNNNNNNNNNNNNNNNNNNNNNNNNNNNNNNNNNNNNNNNNNNNNNNNNNNNNNNNNNNNNNNNNNNNNNNNNNNNNNNNNNNNNNNNNNNNNNNNNNNNNNNNNNNNNNNNNNNNNNNNNNNNNNNNNNNNNNNNNNNNNNNNNNNNNNNNNNNNNNNNNNNNNNNNNNNNNNNNNNNNNNNNNNNNNNNNNNNNNNNNNNNNNNNNNNNNNNNNNNNNNNNNNNNNNNNNNNNNNNNNNNNNNNNNNNNNNNNNNNNNNNNNNNNNNNNNNNNNNNNNNNNNNNNNNNNNNNNNNNNNNNNNNNNNNNNNNNNNNNNNNNNNNNNNNNNNNNNNNNNNNNNNNNNNNNNNNNNNNNNNNNNNNNNNNNNNNNNNNNNNNNNNNNNNNNNNNNNNNNNNNNNNNNNNNNNNNNNNNNNNNNNNNNNNNNNNNNNNNNNNNNNNNNNNNNNNNNNNNNNNNNNNNNNNNNNNNNNNNNNNNNNNNNNNNNNNNNNNNNNNNNNNNNNNNNNNNNNNNNNNNNNNNNNNNNNNNNNNNNNNNNNNNNNNNNNNNNNNNNNNNNNNNNNNNNNNNNNNNNNNNNNNNNNNNNNNNNNNNNNNNNNNNNNNNNNNNNNNNNNNNNNNNNNNNNNNNNNNNNNNNNNNNNNNNNNNNNNNNNNNNNNNNNNNNNNNNNNNNNNNNNNNNNNNNNNNNNNNNUUUCAAACGACGCUUUAUUCAUAAACCGUCGUCUUAUAAAUUACCACGACAAUUUUUCACCGUCGUUUAAAUACUUUAAAACGACGUUUUAUUCCCUUAACCGUCGUCUUUAUUGAAUUACCACGUCAUUUUUUUUAUUUCUUUAAACAGGUUAUUGAAGUUGGUGCUUAUUCAAAAAUGGAGGCGCCAUCUUCUUUAAAAACCCUUUGUCAUUUUGUGGAAACGACACUCCUGCCUGAGGAUAAGACAGUCCAAUUUACAAUUGAUAAGGAGGUGUUUGGUGGUGAGCGCGAUACCUUCCUCCUGCCUGAAGAUAUUACACAAUUUGCAGGCAUGGAAGAAAUUGGAGCUACUGUAUUGGCUGUAUAUAUGAGGUUUGUACUUCUAAAAUAAUAACUCGUUGGUUUAUAUAUUGCGUCGUCUUAACUAACUAACCACGUCGUCUUAACUAACAACCGUCGUGAUAAAUAUAUUAUAACGUCCUCAUCUAUUUCAGUACGUCGUGUGAAAUAUUAUAAUACGUCGUUUUUUUAUACAUAACCGUCGUGUUUUGUGUGCUGACUUGUUUAUAUUAUUUUAUUUGUUUAGGUACUUACACGAUGUUUUGAAAAAAGCCAAUAUGUGCAGUAUGGUUGGCUUUAUCGACCCUGCUACAGUUAGUGCCAACUCUGGCACAAUAACUGAAAGAUCACGACUCGUAGCAGCUCGACUUCAGAAGACAGACGGUGAACAGAUUUUCAUGAUGCCUUACAAUCCAGGGUUAGUCUCCUUAGGAUUUUGUUUUUAUGAUUUUCAAUAAAUGACAGCUUAUAAACUAACCACGUCGGUGUUUUAUUUUAUUUAGUCGUUUGAAACUACUAACCACGUCGGUAUUUAUUUAUCGUCGUGAUAAAUAUAUAAUGUCGUCGUUAGCUACUUUACUUCGUCGUGUGAAAUACUAUAAUACGUCGUUUUUGUAAAUAACCGUCGUUUUUAUAUUAAUUUUGUGCAGCCGUCAUUGGAUUUUGCUGAUUGUAAGAGCAAAGAGAGAAACCGUCUAUUUUCUGGAUCCUCUGCCAGGAAAUCGUGUGGUCGAUGAAGAGGCCAAAAACAUCGUGAACAGUGCUUUAAAAAUAUAUAAUACCCACAUAGCCCGAGCAGGACGUAAAAAUGUAAUUUGGAAAACUCUCUCAGGCACACCAAAGCAACCCAGCAAUGUCGAAUGCGGGUAUUAUGUAAUGCGCUUCAUGAGGGACAUCAUCAUGGAUCCUUCCUUGGGGUUUGAGAAUAAGGUAAGAAGAAAUUACCUUCAUACAUUUCACGUCGUUUUUUGUAUUAUCAACGACGGUCGUGUAAAAUUAACGUCGUUGAAUGGAUAUACUACGUCGGUUAUGAAAAAUAUCGUCGUCUGUGAUUGAAUUUCUUUUUAUGUAUAAACCCUAAUAGUCAUUGUUUAUGCAGUAUGCCAAGGGAAACCAGGAAGCUUCAUACCCCCAAGAAGCCAUUGAUAAAGUCCGGAAUGAAUGGGCAGAGUUUGUUUUCCAAAUUAUUAAACAGGGCAAUUAUUGAACACUUGAUAUUUAUGUAUAAUGUACCAAUUUUCUCUAUAAUAUGUAAUGUAAAAAUUUGUUGAGGUUUUCUUAAAUUAAAAAAAAAACAAACAUACAAAUUGCUUAACCGACGUGUAAUACUUUUCCAACGACCUAAUAAAGUCAAUAACCGUCGUAUUUUGUUGUUGCGUGUUUUAAACAAAUACGACGUAAAAAAAUAGUUAGACGACGUUCUUUGAACAAUUGAGUCGUUAAUGGUUUACAAUAUCUUCAAUUUCUUAAGGGUUCAGGGUAUAAUCGACGACGUUUAUGUAACGACUGCGGUUAAGUCGUAAAAUAUAUAUUUUACGUCGUAUAGUUAAAUAGCCGCCAUGGUUUCUCAUUUUAACGACGUCAUUUUAACGACUUAGUAGUCUAUUACAAUUUACAACGUCUACAAUUUAUUUAACACCGACGUGGUUUGUUGUAUGGUAAGAAUAUUUUAUUAUUUUUAUAUCAAAAUAUUCAAAAUAAAUAUAAAAUAAAUCAGAAAAUUGAAAAGUCAACUCCUAUGAAGUCAUUGAUAUAUUUUCUUCCACAUAAACCUUGAAAAAAUUCAUUUUGAAUAACAAAAAUUUAAAAUGACCAUCCAAAACAAAAUUGUUUUGAUGAGUCAUAAAAUCACUUCUAGUUUAAUGGUUUAGGGUUUAGAGUCUAGGGUUUAGAGAUUAGUGUUGUUAUUUAUUGGGGUUUAUUUUUAAAGUAUAAUUUUUGGGUAGUCUAUGUUAUAUGUUAGGCUUUAAAACCAUAAAACCUUUUAUAAACUUAAUUUUUUAAAUUGUAUAAUUUAAUUUUAUGGGUUUAGUGUAUUAAUUUUUAACGACGGUGGUUGGGUCGUGGAAUACAUAUUUUACGUCGUACAGUAAAACAUACGACAUGGUUUACGCUUUAAACGACGUUAUUUUAAUAUGUAAGUCGGUUUAUAUAAUUUACAACGUCUUUAAUUUCUUAACACCGACGUGGUUUUUCAGUCGUCGUUAUAUAAAAAAUUCAAAAUAAAUUUAAAAUUAAUCCGAAAAAUCUACAAUUUAUUUAACACCGACGUGGUUUGUUGUAUGGUAAGAAUAUUUUAUUAUUUUUAUAUCAAAAUAUUCAAAAUAAAUAUAAAAUAAAUCAGAAAAUUGAAAAGUCAACUCCUAUGAAGUCAUUGAUAUAUUUUCUUCCACAUAAACCUUGAAAAAAUUCAUUUUGAAUAACAAAAAUUUAAAAUGACCAUCCAAAACAAAAUUGUUUUGAUGAGUCAUAAAAUCACUUCUAGUUUAAUGGUUUAGGGUUUAGAGUCUAGGGUUUAGAGAUUAGUGUUGUUAUUUAUUGGGGUUUAUUUUUAAAGUAUAAUUUUUGGGUAGUCUAUGUUAUAUGUUAGGCUUUAAAACCAUAAAACCUUUUAUAAACUUAAUUUUUUAAAUUGUAUAAUUUAAUUUUAUGGGUUUAGUGUAUUAAUUUUUAACGACGGUGGUUGGGUCGUGGAAUACAUAUUUUACGUCGUACAGUAAAACAUACGACAUGGUUUACGCUUUAAACGACGUUAUUUUAAUAUGUAAGUCGGUUUAUAUAAUUUACAACGUCUUUAAUUUCUUAACACCGACGUGGUUUUUCAGUCGUCGUUAUAUAAAAAAUUCAAAAUAAAUUUAAAAUUAAUCCGAAAAAUGAACGGCCUUACGUUCUUAAUCCGAAAAAUGAAGUUUCCGUCGUGGAAUAUUAAAUUUACGUCGGUACUUGUAGAACUUUCGCCUUGGUUUUUCUUUCGACGUUUUAUAACGCGCGCGCUCUAAAAAUUUUCGCGCGACCUAAAUUUUUUUAGAUUUGGCUCUUAGUCUUAUACUUUGAUCCCUGAAACCUAAAAUUUCAGAUUUCACGCGACAUAACAUUUCGCUCUCUCACUUCUGCUCUAAUUAAAAGUUGCACUCUCCAGGCUCGUCGAAUCUGUGAGCUCGUCCAACCUGUAAGUACAAACCCUAUCUUCCCCUUGUAAAUUCAUUGAAUGAUAUUAGGUUGUUUUGUUAAAGGGUUUUAGGUAUAUGCUUUGCGAUCUGUUAAUAAUGUGCUUAUAGGUAUGGGUUCAUGGAUUUUCUGUUUAAUGGGUUCAUGACAAGAUCAAAUAAAGGUGUACUUUUGCUGGAAAUCAACACAAAAAGACACAUCACCAACUUCCAAAUGAUUUCCAGCAAAAGGACACCUUUAUUUGAUCUUGUCAUUUUCCGCUCUGGAGAAGGUGCAAAGUGCACCAAUGCUUAUAGGUAUGGGUUCAUGGAUUUUCUGUUUAAUGGGUUCAUGGAUUACAUUAUCUGUUAUGUUGAAUUGGGAAUGGAUUUAAUUUUGUCGUAUCUUUUAAUCACCCUAUGUUAUGUUGAAUUGGGAAUGGAUUUAUUGUUUUCAUGCUUGGUUUCAUGUAUAUGUUGGUUUCUUGCUUGGUUUCAUAUAUAUGUUGUGUUCUUAAUGGGUUUUGUGUUCUUGAAAAUAAACUGAGACACGACGAAUUUUAAGGCGUACGACGACGAUUACACGACGGUGUUUUUAAACUACCGUCGUUGUAUUACUUAUACACGACGGUUUUUUCAUAAACCGUCGUUUGUAUUACGUAUAAUAGACGACGUCUGUUGAAAAUCCGUCGUCUAUAUAUGCCAAAUACGUCUGUUUUUGAUUAAAACCCGUCGUCUCUGUUGUUUAUUACUUGCGAUUAGAUCAUUGUAUAAUCUGCUAUAGUGAUGGUCAUUGCCUGUAUUUUCACUUUAUUAUAGAUAAUAGGUUAUAGUGUCGGAGAUGGAUAAGUCAUGGAUGCACUCGGAUAGAAGAUCGAAGGCAUAUGAGUUUGGGGUGGAAGCAUUUUUGAACUUUGCUGUAGAAAAUCUUCUAACUACAACACAUAUCCGUUGUCCAUGUGUUAAAUGUGUUAAUUUGAAGUUGUUUGGGGUUGGAAUUAUAAGGGAUCACUUAUACUUUAAUGGAAUUGACCAAAGCUAUAAGAAUUGGACAUUUCACGGAGAACCUUGGGAAGCAACUACUAAUGCUAGCAGAAAUGUUGAAGAAGAUGAUGGUCAUAGUAGGUACAGUUUUGUGUCUGAAGAAAUUGAUAUGGAUGAUAAUGAUUUUGGUGAUUUUGGUUCGGAUCCGUAUGAGUUUGCCAAUGUGAUUGGGGAUGGAGAUCAACCAGUGUACCCUGGUUGUAGAAAGUACACGAAGUUAUCGGCAUUAGUGAAGUUGUAUAAUUUGAAGGCAAAACAUGGGAUGAGUGAUGUCUGUUUUACAGAAUUAUUGAUACUUCAAGGCGAUUUGCUUCCAGAAGGAAAUACAAUACCAACCUCCAUGUAUGAGGCUAAAAAGACUUUGUGUGCAUUGGGGCUGAGUUAUGAGAAAAUGCACGCAUGCCCCAAUGAUUGCAUCUUGUAUAGGAAGGAGUAUGAGGAUUCAACUAAUUGUCCUACUUGUGGUAUCUCAAGGUGGAAGGAAGGCAAAGAUGCAAUCUUGAAAGAGGGUGUGCCAGCGAAGGUGGUGUGGUAUUUUCCCCCAAUUCCAAGGUUUAAAAGGAUGUUUCAAUCACAUGAGACAGCUAAGAGUUUGACUUGGUGGCAUGUUGCUAGAAAAUCAAUUGACGGUCAGAUGUCUCAUCCGGCGGAUUCCCCGUCUUGGAAACUUCUUGAUGAUAAAUGGCCUGAGUUUGGUAAUGAGCCGAGAAACUUGAGAUUGGCUCUUUCAUCUGAUGGAUUCAAUCCCCACAGUUCUCUAAGUAGCAGAUAUAGUUGUUGGCCGGUUAUCUUAGUUACAUAUAAUCUCCCUCCAUGGCUGUGCAUGAAACGAAAGUUCAUGAUGUUAACCUUAUUGAUUUCCGGUCCUAAACAACCCGGAAAUGAUAUAGACGUCUACUUGGAGCCUUUGAUUGAUGAUUUAAAAUCCUUGUGGGUUGGGAUUAGAGGAGUGUAUGAUGCACAUAAUGGAGAAUACUUUACACUCAGAGCUGCAUUAAUGUGGACAAUUAAUGAUUUCCCCGCCUAUGGAAACUUAUCUGGUUGUGUUGUUAAAGGAUAUAAAGCUUGUCCAAUAUGCGGCGAUGAUACACCUAGUCACAGGUUGAAAAAUGGCCACAAAAUUUGUUACAUUGGGCAUAGAAAAUGGUUACCAAUCAAUCAUCCAUAUAGGAGGCAACGUGCAGCUUUUAAUGGGAAACCUGAAUAUGGCAUACCUCCAGAGCCAUUAACCGGAGAAGAAGUGCUGCAUAUGGUUGAAAAUGGUGACAGAGUUUGUUGGAAGAAGAAAUCAAUAUUCUUUGAUCUCGAGUAUUGGAAAUACCUUCCUGUGAGGCAUGCCCUAGAUGUUAUGCACAUUGAGAAGAAUGUUUGCGAUAGUAUCAUUGGUACAUUGCUGGAGAUCCCUGGAAAAAAUAAAGAUGGGAUUGCUGCUCGAUUAGAUUUAUUGAACAUGGGGGUCAAAACUGAUUUGCAACCCGAGUAUGGAGAAAGACGUACUCGUUUGCCUCCUGGGCCUUGGAAUUUGUCAAGAGCAGAGAAGAGAGAGGUUUGCAAUUCUUUCUAUGGUAUGAAGGUCCCUGAAGGUUAUUCUUCAAAUAUUAAAAAUCUUGUAUCUGUACAAGAUUCAAGACUUCUUGGCCUUAAAUCACAUGAUUGUCAUACCUUAAUGCAACAAUUGCUCCCUGUGGCAAUUCGUUCUGUUUUGGAGAAGCCUGCAAGGUAUGCAAUAACUCGUUUGUGCUUCUUCUUCAAUGCUAUAUGUGCAAAGACUGUUGAUGUUUCCAAGCUAGAUAAGUUGGAAGAAGAUGUAGUAGUUACUCUGUGUUUGCUUGAGAAGUACUUUCCCCCUUCAUUCUUUGAUAUCAUGGUUCAUCUAGUAGUACAUCUUGUCAGAGAAGUUCGUCUAUGUGGGCCAGUAUAUUUUAGGUGGAUGUAUCCGUUUGAAAGAUAUAUGAAAGUGCUGAAGGGGUAUGUUCAGAAUCGUACUCGUCCCGAAGGUUGCAUUGCUGAGCGGUAUAUAGCUGAAGAAGCGGUAUAUAGCUGAAGAAGCGGUAGAGUUUUGUACUCAGCAUUUAUCUGAUGUUAGUACAGUUGGAGUGCCUUCAAGCCAAAAGAUGGGAGUUUCAAAGCCAUUAUCAGGUUGCACAGUGAGCGUAGUUGAUCAGGACCUGUUGAAUCAAGCACAUCUAUAUGUCUUGGAGAAUACGGAGGAAGUCCUACCUUAUAUCGAGUACGUAUGAGUUUUAUUCUUUAAGUUUCCAUUUAAAAUUAUUUCUUAUGUUUAUCUUAUAUAUUUGGGACCGUAAUGCUUGAAUUUUUCGUGUCAUGUAGGCAACAUAUGAUCCACAUCAAGACUGCUUAUCCAAAAUUUAGAAAGAGAACAAAGUGGCUGCAGGAUAAGCACAAUAGCACUUUCAUUCAAUGGCUACGCUUCAAGGUAUAUGUUGUUGAAUAACGUAUUUCUCUUUUAAUUUUCUUCUUAUUUAUAUGUUAGGAUGAAUUAAGAUAUGAUUAAUUUGCAGGUUCAAAGUGAACUUGAGGAAGACAAUCAUGGCGUAUCAGAAAAUUUAAGGUGGCUAGCAGCUGGUCCAAACAUGUCAGUGCCAUUAUAUAGGAGCUAUCUUAUUAAAGGUAUUAAAUUCAAUAUCAAGGCACAAGAUGAUGUGCGGACAACUCAAAAUAGUGGAGUUUAUUUACUUGCACAUACCAUGCAAGUUGCUAGUGCCAAGGAUAAAAACCCAAUUCUCUCAAAUAUGGGUUUCUAUGGUGUCAUUCAAGAAAUUUGGGACCUUGACUACCAAAAGUUUACAAUCCCAGUCUUUAGGUGUGAUUGGAUAGAUAGUUCUGGUCUUGUAGUCGACGAACUUGGAUUUACCCUUGUAGAUUUGAGUAAAAUUGGACAUAGGAAUGACCAAUUUGUUUUGGCUUCUCAAGUCAAACAAAUAUUUUUUGUUGACGACCCGAUGCAUCGUGGUUGGUCGGUAGUGUUAUCAAUGCCUAGUAGAGAAUAUAAUGAUGUUAUUGGUGAUGAAGUAUUAGGUGAUGUGAUAAUUGAGUGUGAGCCAUUUACUAGAGGGAUGCCAAAUGUUGACACAUUUGAUGAACUGGUAGGUGAGUUAGGCGGUCAAAAUAUUCGAGAUGGGUGUGAAGAUAUAUGGAUUGAAUGAUGCUUAUGUAAUUGGCAGUGUAUGACAUUAAUUUUGUAAUAUAUUGUAAUGUGAUUUCUUCACUUUCUACGUUCAAAUAAAACACGACGUUAUUGUGAAUCAGUUAUUCAGCAUAUUUACCGACGUCUUAAAGCAACGUAACAAUGAAGAACCACGACGCUAUUGUGAAGCAAUUAUUCAGGAUAUCACGUCGGUGAAGGAUAAAGAACCGCCAUGUAAUUCAAAAUAACACGACUCCAAUCCCAUAAUACCGACGUCUAAAAAACGAGAUAUAUAAUCUGAACGUUAAAAAAUACGACGUCAUCAUACAUUUUCCACGUCGCAAGUUCUUUUAUAAACGAAGAGGAACGAAAUUAAUUCCGACGGAAAUUCAUUAUAACCGCCGUCUAAUAACAAUUAAACGACGUUAUUUGUAAUACGGCUCCCAUCAUAAUCUACGCCGUCUAUAUGUUCUGUAAUACGGCUCUCAUUUAUUUGGAACCGACGUUGUUUAGACGUUCAACGUCGUCUAUAUUAUUAAGUGCGUCGUGAGUAAUGAAUACAUAUAAAUACAACGUCGACUAUAUAAAUGUAUACGUCGUAAAUAAUGACACUGACAACUAUUUCCACGUCAUCUUUUUUAGAAAAAUCGAAGUGGAAAAUUUAUUUCACGACGGUUUUUUGUAAAUAAGAGACGUUGUAGAACUUUAGCAGACUAAACACGUCUGUUUUUAUUGUUUUCCGACGUUGUUGUAUUUAACAACGUCUAAUAUUUAUGGUCGUUGUUUGUUUCUGAAAAUAGGACGUAUAAAUUUUUUAAUACGACUCUCAUAUAUUUGUAACUGACGUUGUUUAGUUUUUCAACGUCUACUAUAGAAACACAUACGUCGUAAAUAAUGACACUGACAACUAUUUCCACGUCAUCUUUUAUCGAAAAAUCGAAGUGGAAAAUUAAUUGUACGACGGUUGUGUUUAUAUGUGCGACGUAGUAGGUAUCAAUAACGUCGUCUUCUAAUGUAUUUAAAGACGUCAUAUUUUUUAUUGUCGUGAAAAUUAUAUUUAACGUCGGCGUAUUUUUAUUGUCGUCGUUGUAUGUCUAUCUUGCGGCCUUGUUCUCUUAAUAUGUGUCAUAUUUUCCCUUUUUAACGACGGUCUUUUUAGAGAAUUGGUCGUCUAUUAUCAUCCUCGAUUGCUUUUUUUAGAUCUUUUUGCAGUACAAAGACGUCGUUUUGUAUUUUUUGAUGACGUUGUAUUGUUUAACAACGACGGUUAUUUAGCGUCGUGGUUUAUGAGGGAAAAGAUGACGGUGGAUUCCACGACCAUUGAAAAACCAAAUACACGACGGUGAUUUACCGUCGUCUUUUUGCUUUUUUGUAGUAGUGAAUAUAUUAUGAACAGAUUUUUCCUUAAAACAAACAAAUAGUUAUAUAAAUAUAAAUCUUUUGACUAGCUUUUGAGUAGAAAAAGUGCUUUUCACCCUCAUGUUGUGUUUUUGUUUUUGAAGUAAACAUACGUGCCUCCAUCUUAUUAAUGGAAAAAAAAAAAAAAAAAGCCACGAAGUGCAUGAAAAUUUGACACUCUCUUACUUUAGAAUCACUUAAAGGAUGCUAUACGUAUUAAAAGGAGUGAUUUGAGGUGAGGUAAAAAAAAUGUGAUUAAAAUAAUGUAGCCUUGGAUCUAAUCUGUGGCAUAUUAACUGGCACUUUGGAGGACAGGUGGUGUUUUCAGUAAGCAAUUCCAAAGAAUUUCUUACAACACAAACAAAGGGAUCGCAGGGAAGUCAAUAUCAAUAUUGGAAGAGCACAAAUAAUCAAAGGAAAUGUUGAAUAUACUCACAAGGGUCAAUCGAAGUUUCAUUUUUGUUAGGCAAAUACCUAAUUUCUCAUAUCAAAGAGGGAAAUAAUGAAGCAUAAAAUAAAAGAAUCUUUUGCAUACGUGGGCUUAGCCAAAUUGAUUAGAUGAAUGUGCUUUCCGUAGUUUAGAUUAAUCUAUAUAUAUAAAGCAAAAGGCAGAGAAUGGUGAAACAUUCAAAAUACCAGAAAAUGCCCUUGGUUAAUGCAAACAUUAAGAAUUCAAAUUAUUAAUUAAAUGAGGAUAAUAUGGUAAAUUCACACUUUUUCAUAUUUAAAAAAAUUAAAAGAAAAAGAAAAAUAUAAAGCAAAAGGCAGAGAAUGGUAAAACAUUCAAAAUACCAGAAAAUGCCCUUGGUUAAUGCAAACAUUAAGAAUUCAAAUUAUUAAUUAAAUGAGGAUAAUAUGGUAAAUUCACACUUUUUCAUAUUUAAAAAAAUUAAAAGAAAAAGAAAAAGCAGAUAAUGGAUCCUAUUUUUAUGGAACACAACUACCCAUUAUCUUUUUUAAUUCUAAAAUAAAUUUACUUAUUUUUUUAAAAAAACCUCUCGCAAGCGCGGAAGCGCGUGCAGAGAGGCUAAUGUAAAAUAAAAUAUCUCUUAUAUAAAAAUAAAAAUAAUAAAAAUAAAAGAAUCGUUUGGCCAUUAUACCUAACAAAAAAGGAAGAAAAGGAUCUUUCAUAACGCAUAUAUUUAUGCCCAAACAUAGUUGAAAGUUCAACUUGGUCCAUCAUUAAAGGCAGAAUUGGGUUUUCAACAAACCCAUUUCUAUCACCACAUGAACAACAAUGAAAAGAAAUGGAAAAAGAUGGCACAAAUAGAGAGAAAAUGACACUAUGCGCCAAGCCAACACAUCAAAAACCUAUUUUAUAUGUGAUAAAAUACUAGAUUUUGAAAAACCCAAAAGUGAGAGAUUUUAAAAGAAGUCAAAAUAGACAAAAUUGCUCUUAUUUAUUUUUGGAUUUCCUAAGGAAUCCUUUACAUUUUCAUGUCUUUGAUUUGAAAGUUGAGAGGUUUUUCUGUCUUUUUUGAAAAAGCUUUAGUUUUUUCCAAAAGUGAAAGUUUUCUUUUGGUUAAAACCUAAAUUUACUUAAAAGUUAAUCCAAUUUAAUGAAUAUUAGCUUACAAGGUAACCCAAUGUUUAAAAAUAAACUCAAAACAUUCUAUAUAAGAUAAUGUGUUCAAGUGGGAGACCCGUUCAGGACAAUUACAGUAGUCAAAUUUUGUAAGGAGUUUGUAGUUUAAGUGGUUAAAAAUAAUUAUCAUGCAUCCGAAAUAAUGUGUUCAAAUCCCCCUCCCUUAAUCUAUAUAUAUAAAGCAAAAGGCAGAGAAUGGUGAAACAUUCAAAAUACCAGAAAAUGCCCUUGGUUAAUGCAAACAUUAAGAAUUAAAAUUAUUAAUUAAAUGAGGAUAAUAUGGUAAAUUCACAAUUUUUCAUAUUAAAAAAAUUAAAAUUAAAAGAAAAUUCAGAUAAUGGAUCCUAUUUUUAUGGAACACAAUUAUCCAUUAUCAUUUUUAAUUCUAAAAUAAAUUUAAAUUUUAAAAAAAAAAAAACUCUCGCAGGCGCAGAAGCGCGUGCAGAGAGGCUAGUAUUACUUAUGUGAAUAAUUAAAAAAUUAUCAAAGCAUUCAAACUUAUGUAGUUUAGAAAUUAUCCAACCAACCACAAAGUGUAGUGCGGUUGGCAAACUGCCACCUUUAAUUGGCAAGCUACCUGGUGCCUCAAUGGUAAAAGUUCGAAACCUGUUAGAAGCAUUUUAUGGUUGAACUCUGAGUAAGAAUUAAUCACAGCCUUUGAAUGUGGGGGAUGGAUGACUAUUGCUAUAAAAAAUAAAAAAUAAAUAAAAAGAUCCCAGAAAUAUUUCCUUGCUCCUUAUAUCACGGAAUGCGCACAAAAUGAAGCACCUCCUCUAAAUCAAAACCCAAUUAAAAUAUUAAUUAAACCCCAUUAAAAAAAAUAAACAAUAAUUAAUUAAUUAAUAAUAAGAUAAAACGUAGAGGUAAGAGCGGCUCAUUCACUUUCUCUCAGUCUACGUCUCCAUCUCUGGCUUUAAUGGCGAGGGCGGCGUUCCUUAAUUUCACAUACGCCAUUGAUUUUUUGACGUUCUCUCAGGCUCCUAUUAACUGCGCAGAUCCCGAGGCCUUCUCCAAACCUUCCUCGUCUUCUUCGUUUCUGAGGUUCGUGCUCUGAGCUUCGCACUUUUGUUUUUGCUUUUCAUUUCACAUCUCGAAUUUUGUUUCCGGGGAAUUUCAUUUCAUCUGAGCAAUGGGUUUGCUUGCUUGACUUGACUUCCAUUGAACUGUUCUCGGCUAUGUGAUUUGCAAUUCAAAUUAUUAUCAUACUUUGCUUUUCUGUGGUUUUCUGUGGAUCUGUGUGGGAUAGUAAUAAUAAUGCCGCUUCAGUUUCCGGAAAUUUGUUUUCCAUUUUGCUGUAUUGCUAUGUUCUAGUUCUGGCAUUCUCUUUAUUUCUAGUCUGAAUUCAUCGAUUUGAUAAUUCUUUGUUCUUUCUUAGAAGUAUCUUAGUCUAGGAAUUCAAAUCAGGGAUCAAUUUGGCUUAUUUGAAGCACGGUAUGUGAAACUGCUGAGUUCAGUUUCUGUUGACAAGAGUUGAUUAGUUUUUUUUAGGGUUUUUCUUCAAAUCUGACAAUAUGUGGGUGGGGGAUUUUUUAACAGUUUGUCCCACAGACUUGUCAUUUAAUUUGUUUUAUGUUCAAUAUACAUUGGUAAACUAGUAAAAUAUAAUCUGGUACAGCAUUGUCAAAGAGUGCUGUGCCUUUUCUGGGGUUUACUUGCACGCAAAGAGAAUGCUUCAUUUUUUUCUUUUCUUAAAUAACAUGAUUUUUUACACAGAUAGAACUAUUGGUCAAUGAUAUUCAGCUCAUAGCUUUAUGAAGACUGAGCAGUGAAGAAUCUGGUGAUCAAUUUGAAGCUAUAGGUUAAAAAUGACUUCAGCAGGCAAAGCAGAUAGGAAGGCGUCUCUUGAUGCUGCAUCAUGGUUGUUCAAUGUUGUCACAUCUGUUGGAAUAAUCAUUGUCAAUAAAUCAUUGAUGGCUACUCAUGGGUUCAGUUUCGGUAUGUUUCUGUUGUCGUGAUUUACUCACCGAAUUUCUUCAUUCGCAUUGCCUAUCUAAUCAGUUGAUUUUUUUUCUUCUUGAUGCCUUCGUUUAGAAGAUCUAUCAAUUUCUGAGGAUUUUAGUUCCUAGAAUCAUAUUGAUUGGCGAAAAGGAGGUUUUCUGUUUUACAUUUUUAAGUUUUGUAAAUUAGAUGAAACUAUCUAUUCUUGGCCUUUGGGUUUCUAUUAUCCUCUCCUGAGUCGGAAAAGUUUUAUUCACUUGCUUUUCGGAACGUUGCCUUUUUUUUUUUUACCAAAUUGUAUUCACUGCCCUUGAUGCUCUGUAAUCACUCCUCCAUUUCCCCCCAAUGAAAUGUAAAGAUGUUAAUUAUACUUAAUGAUUUAGGUUCCAAUAGUUUUAACUGAAAGUCGGUGCAGGAAAAGAAACGAAAAUACCUUUAUAAUGGAGAUGUUCCAAUUUGUUGUAGACUUUAGGCCCUUCAUUUCUUGUCAGUUGCAAGAUCAAAAUGUAGGGAUGAUGGGCAAACAAUUUGGCAUACUAAAUAAGAUAGAUUGCAUAUAGUGAUGAUAAGAUUUGGAUAGGGUACUUUUUGAAUAUACGUUUCUUAUUAGUUUUUAAAGAUUUCUCUGUAAAACUAUGAUUACCAUCAGACCAUUUUAUUUAAGUUUAAUCCUAGUAUAGUUGUAAGGUUGGUUUAUAAGCAAAAAAUUUCUCGAUGAGGAGAUUGACUUUUGUGCACUUGAGUGUCCCUGUCCUUAAGUGGAUUAAAAUCCUCUAAAUCAUAUUUUGGAAAUACUUUUUUUCUUGACGGAAAAAGUAACAAGUCUGUAAGUCUGGAUAUAAAUGCAAAAUGAUUUACUGUGGACUCUGUCCAAGUUGUAUUCUUAAUGUGUAACAGGCACGGCCACCUGCUAGUGGUGUGCAUGCUUCAUAGUCUAACAUACUGCUUCCAAAGAAACAGAAGAUUUUAUUUUGGGGUAAAUGUACCAGAAGAUUUUCAUCCAUGUUGACAUUUUUCUCUACAUAAUGUAGCUACAACAUUAACGGGUCUGCAUUUUGCCACAACAACCUUACUGACAGUUAUUCUCAAGUGGCUGGGAUAUAUACAGCCCUCUCAGCUACCAUUGCCUGAUCUUUUGAAGUUUGUUUUAUUUGCGAAUUUCUCCAUUGUCGGAAUGAAUGUGAGUUUAAUGUGGAACUCUGUGGGAUUCUAUCAGGUGAGUUUUGGUAAACUAGUGAACACUUCUCUUUCUUCGAUAUAGAUUUGAUAUGCUAACGUUCUUUUUCUUUCAAAUCUUAUUGUCAGAUCGCAAAGUUAACUAUGAUCCCAGUAUCAUGCUUUCUAGAAGUUGUCUUGGACAAUGUUCGAUACUCAAGGGGCACAAAACUAAGCAUAACAUUGGUUCUCCUUGGUGUUGCAGUUUGUACUGUUACUGAUGUGAGUGUCAAUGCCAAGGGUUUUAUAGCUGCUUUAGUGGCAGUUUGGAGCACUUCCCUGCAACAGCAUGUAAGUAACUCUUAACUGAAUUCAUGAUCUUAUAUAGAUAGCGCCAGGAUGGAAUGGGUUAGGGGUCGUUAAGCGAGUCCUGGGCUCCCGAGGCCCGACUGAAUCAAGUUUCAGUUUCAUCGGUGCUUCCAUAUUUCUACCUGUUAUUUUUAACAUGCAUACUAAAGAAAUGUUCAAGUUAUUUAACCAACUAACGAUAAUAUAAUAACCGUUUUGUUUCUAAAUGGGUGGGGCUGUGAGAUGUUGAUUAUCAGGAUCAGUUUGCGUUUAGGAUGUGAUCCUAAAUGAAAGAUUGUAUUGACUCAUGUAGGUUAACUACAAGCCCCACCUUAGCCAGAUCUGAUUUUAUAUAUCCCCUUGCAUUGUGUUACAUUGUUCAAUAUCUAUGUUUGUGCAGUAUGUACACUCUCUGCAACGGAAGUAUUCGCUUGGAUCUUUCAACUUAUUGGGACAUACUGCGCCAGUACAGGCAGCAUCUUUGCUGAUAUUGGGCCCCUUCUUGGACUACUGGUUGACAAAUAAAAUAGUUUAUGCAUAUGACUAUCAUUUGAUAUCCAUGGUAAGUUAUAUAUAUGUUGGUCUUAUUAUUUCUAGAUUUUAUUGCAAGGUUUACGUUUCUAUAGUCUAUACAAGCAUGCCUUCACAUUUGGGCCCAAUUACUUCAUGAUUCAUUUAGCCUUUACACGCUUAUGUGAUAUGUGCUUCCAUUAUUCAUGCUCAGUUGCAUGUGCUUCUAUACUUAUACACACGUCUUUGUUUGUGACUGCAUGUUCAUUAUUUUCAGUAUCAUAGUUAACCCUUCAAAAUAGUGCUAGUCUUAAGGUUUCCUAUUUAGUUUUUUACCUUGUAUAACAUGAGAAAUUUGCAUAAUAAUUAAUUGAGUCUAUCUAGCUAGAUCCUUGAUUGCUUCAAUGUAAUGUUGAUUAUUGUUUCAACUGUAAGCACUACAUGCAUGGUUGUGUUAAUUACUUCAUGUAUUUUCUGUCUACUCAAUGGGAGGCAGCUCCUAAUCUGGUGAACCGGAAAAUUUUGCUUGGCAGAUUCCAUAAGAGAUUUAUGGUGUCAAGUCAAUUAGUUUUUGCAAUAUUAUUUAUAAGGAAUAAAAACCAUCUUUCCUGUCUCUGUAUUGUAUCUCUCUGAAAAAGAGCCAAUAUUACUGCACAAAAUUCUUUGCCACUUCAAGCGUUGAUAAAAACCUUUUAAUGACAAAAACUUCACAAAUAGGAGUCUGGUUCUCCUGUGCAAUAACUCUUCUGAAUAUGCAACGUCUCUCAUUACUCUGUUGAUCCUAAUGUCUUCAUCCUAAGGUGAAUGUAAUUGAUGAUGCAUGAUCACCUACGAUAUCCUACAACCAAAUGUUUGCUUAUAAAUAGAUCUCUCUCACUCACACACAAAAACACCAACACACACUCCCUUACCCGUUGAUGAUUUUUUUUUUCUCUUUCUACCAUUAAAAUCGAACAAAGAAGUGAUCAUUCAUCGUGAUACUUCUUAAGUAUAGAUCAAUUGAUUUUCAUGUUUCGUUUAAUACACAGUUUCUUCAUUGUGGUAACCUUCAUAAGUGUACAGGUGACUUUUUUCUCUUGUAGAGCUGUGUUUCUGAUGCAGGACGCGUAGGACCUAAAUUUAUUAGUUUCCAAAUAUAUUUGUUAGUUUCCUAGAUUCUCUAGUUUUCCAAAUUCUAGUAGGAUUUCUACUUUUCCAGAUUUCCAGAUUUCUAGUUUUAAGUUUCCUAUUUUAUUUGGGUUAGGAUUUCUGUUUAAGCGAGGGAUUUUUAUCCUAUUAUUUCUAGGUUUUAGUUUGCUAUAAAUACCCCCAUGUAGUUCUUUAAAAUGCAGAUUUGAAUGUUGAGUAAACCUUUUCCUAGAACUCUCUGAUUUCGUCCCUUGGAUCUAUAUUUCUUCUCCUCAAUCUCCGAUAUUCUUCUUUGUUCUACUGUUUCUGUCCUUUAUCUCGUCUUUCGAUCUCUAUUUCUUCUCCUCAGUCUCUUAUAUUCUUCUCUGUUCUAUUGUUUAAGUGCUUAAUCUAACACCUACGGGCUGUACUACAUCAAUUUCCCUCCCAGGGGCUGAUUGGCACAAAUAUUCCUCAAUGUUAAGAAAACUUUAGCAAGAUCAUAAUACCAUAGUUCUUUUCAGACAAAUAAAAAUGAAUUGAGUUUAAAUGGUGUUGUGUGUGAACCAUGGUAGGAUUAUCCCACAAUGUAUAGAGCUGGAAACGUGCAUGCCUGUGAGCACAUAUGCGAAUACAUUUUCCUAACAGCUGCUUAUAAUGACUUGUGACAACCCACAUUUUGCUUAUGGCUGGCUAUAACUUGUGACUACGGUUAGUGAUUUGCGAUGCUAUUUGUUUCCUGCAGUCGUUAAUUGUCCUGUCUUGCACCAUUGCGGUAGGGACCAACCUCAGCCAGUUCAUCUGCAUUGGUAGAUUUACUGCUGUGUCAUUUCAAGUCCUUGGCCAUAUGAAGACAAUUCUAGUCUUGAUCCUAGGGUUCAUUUUCUUCGGGAAAGAGGGUCUCAAUCAUCAAGUAGUUAUAGGUAUGUUCAUUGCGAUAUUGGGAAUGAUCUGGUACGGCAACGCCUCAUCCAAGCCAGGGGGCAAGGAGCGUCUUCCAAGCAGCAAAUCCCAAAAGAACAGUGCUUUAUCAGAAUCUUCUGAAGUCGAUGAGAAGGUAUAGAAUUCAGCGACAGGUUGUGACAACAGUCGGGGAUAAAUCUAAAGAGAGAGAGUGAGAGAGAGCAAUAUAGGUCAGCUGAUUCAAGGAGUUUCUUCACAACCGGAAAGCCAGAUCCCUUGUUGAUUAUUAUACUUUUUUUGUUUUCACCAUAGUUCAUAUUUGUGUUCUUGAAUUUAGUCAAAGUGAAAGUUCCCAUUGCAUGGGUGUAAAAUUUCAGCCCCUGGAAGUUACCUUGUACCACAGUUAUUUUUUAUAGAAAUUUGUUUAUUAAAUUAAUUUCAGACCAUCUAAUGUGAGGUAAUAAUAUGUGGUAAACUCUAUUUUAACAGAAUUAAACCCUAUUUGUCUGUCUUCCCCUGAUGCAGUUUGGCAUUAACCAAUGAAUUCGAAAUUUUUCAUAUAUUGGGCGUCAAUAAGUUGCACUGCAUAUCAUCAGCCAUUAAAAGAGCUUUUAUGGAAGUCUGAUAUGUGUUAGGUGGGCUUAGUAUAUAGGAGAAUUCAGAAUAAUUGAAACUCUCAGAUUCUCACUCUUGGUGGUCCCAAUACACAUCAUAGAUCUGCCUAUUUAACACAACCGUACAGGACAGGCCUGUAAUAAACCAUUGUUUUGAAGCAUGGGGAAUGAUGCAUCUGUGAACAUAAAGCAAAUUCUUUGAAAUUAUGCGAUAAGGGAAUUAAGAGCGGUUAAUUUGCAUAUCAACUACUGCGUUAUGUUCUCUCAUUCUCUAAUAUUCUUCGUAUAAACAAAAAAUUUAAGGAAAUUUUGCAAGAAUACCAUCUGAACCUACAAUAUCCCAAAUUAAUUUUCCUCAUCGGCGAGCCCUAUACAUGUAGAUGAACUAAAACAUCCCUCCAAAUGAGGGGCGUGUGAUACAUUUUAACAAAAAAGUGGACGAAACAUGACAUAAAGAGUAAACUACAACACUUUAUAGAGUCAAAGUGAUUAAUAAUAAAAAUUAACAAAUUCAAUUGAGAAUCACGCAACAUGUCUAGAAGUUCAAAUAGCAUUUCUGUAAAUUUCAACAAAUAAAAAAAAAUGGAUACUGUGGACAAUCAUGGUAUGAAAUACCUGCAUACCCUUUGGUGUCACCUGGUUCUAUCACAUGCUUUGUUUGAAGUUUUAACGUUUAGGGAAAAAAAAAUAAUUCUUCCAUUUGGUCAAAGUUGGUACAUGUUUUUUAGUAAAUCAUAACAGCAUCGAAAUAAAAUUAUAAACAAAAUGAUAUUCUGGCAGUGAUUUGACUUUGAUGUAUUAAGGUGCCUCUUCACCUACUUUACUGUUCAAGUACUGCAGAUACCAGCUAUGCAUUUCUGCCGCCAUUUGCACUCCAGGUGAUUUCACCAAAAAAUAAAAAAACAUUGGUAAUGUGAAGUCUAAUGGCAGUGGCACAAUGAAAAAUGUUUUAGAAUUCGCCACGAGAGUUGGUUUAGUUGAUAGGGUUUUUACAUUGUGUAUAGUCUCAUUAGUGUUUGAGUCUCUUUGCUAGCAGUUUUUAUUGGUGCUCGAUCUGUAAUUUUCUACAUAAAUUCACAUCAACAGUAACUGACAGUUGGAUCCCAUGUGUAAGUUAUUUCAACUCGAGAUUGUGGGUUUGCCUUGACGCUGACAGUGAAAGUAGUCAAUCUUCCUCUAAACUUUAGCUCAAAAAAAAUAUAAAAUAAAAAAAUUAGAAUUCUGAUUUUUUUUUUUUUUUUGUGUGGUCCCAACUCUCAAUACUUUGUUCACAUUUAAUUAUGAGAUAUUUAUUGUUAGUCAUACAGUCAGGGAUCCAAGAAAUUUGUAAUCACUCACUGUUGAAUGUAAAUUUAACGAUUCACUCACUCUUGCACUCUUUUAAAAAACUUUUUUGAACAAUUGGAUUAAUAUCCAACGGUGGUGACCACAAUCUCUUGGACUCCUGUGGUCCAAGAAAUUUGUGGUCACUCACCGUUGGAUGUAAAUUCAACGGUUCACUCACUCUUGCACUCAUUUUAAAAAACUUUUUUAAACUAUUGGAUUAAUAUCUAAUUGUUUAGUCAUAUAUCCAUUCUUAACACCAAUAAUAUAGAUAAACCAUAUACCAUUUAUUUUUAUAAACAAACUCAAAAAAUGACAGCUGACCUUAUUGAAUUUAAUUUUCAUUAUUAAAUUACUUUGAUGCCCUAUUGAGUGUUUUGGGGCUUUUUUUAUGAGGUUUUUGGGUUGGGUUUGUUCUAAAAAAUCAAUAGCAGUUUUGUAAUUUAAAAGAAGUUAAAAGUCUUUUUGUUAUGUUGUAAAUGAGUUUUGGGUGUGAUUUUAAAGUCCAUUUCAUAUAGGGUUUUUUUUUAUAAAUAAUUUGAGCUCCUAUAUUAGGUAUAGGAGUUUUUUUUUAUAAAUAAUUUGAGCUCUUAUAUUAGGUAUAAUAGUGAAUCUUCUUUUAAUUAUUUGUAUUUCUCUAUGUACCUGAAGUCCUAAAUUUUAUUUCUUCUUUAAUAUGUUUAUAUUUUAAAUGAUAAAAAAUAAUAAUAAUUUAAAAAAAAAAAAAAGGAGUAAUAUAUUGAUAGCAGUCGCAAUUCUGCAGAGUGAUAGAAAAAGUGAGGCACAAACAGCCCCAAGGCCUAACAAAGCAAGAAAAAUGAGAGCAUGCAUAGUGUAAUUACCAGAAAAUCAUACCUAAAAUUGGUCAUGAAUAGCAAGGUUCUUUUAAUUAUUAUGGAGAAAUGAUGCACACAGAAAUCAGAUACAGAAGAAAAUUUGGUUCACAUACAGCUGCUUUGGCCCUACAUUUUAUGCCUAUCAAUUAUACCCAUGAGCUAGGGAUAGUUUGAGUUUGACCCAAGCAAGACAUUAAGGCAUUGUGGCCUAACAUUUUCAUCUCCAACCACAUCGAUUGUAAAGACUCCAUUGAAAACUUCUCUUUCAUCUUAACCAAACGUGACAUUAUUAAGAAAAACUUUACCGAAUUAUUCUGUCACGCGACAUGCGUUGUUGUAUUGUUUAAAUAUGUCACGUGGAAAAUAGGCAUAUAAAUUUCUAUCCCCGAAUCUGCCUUAUUAGCAAUAAUCGUGUGGAUAAUAUUUUCAAUAGGAUGAUAUUGUUAUGGUACAGUCUAUAUUUAUGAGACGAAGAAGACCCUUUUGCAAUUAUUUAUUUAAAAAGUAGAUGCAAAUGACAAAACUCAUAAAGGCACACGAGUGCCAUUAGCUGUAUCUCUCCUUGGGCUAGCUGGGCUUUACAAUGUGACUUCUCUGUAUUUGAAGGGUUGUCCAAUCACCCUUGUAUGGCCCAACUCUCUCCAUAGAAAUCAUAGCCAACAGAAAAAUACUCGCCUCCUUCCUCUGGAAUGGAAGUAGAAAUCCUUAUUUUUCUCCAAAUUAAAAUUUAAUAAGUGUGAAAUUAUUAUAAUAAAUUAUUUUUACAUAUGUGUCAAACUAUAAUUUAGAAAAAUAAAAAAGUUAUUAUUUCAAGAAAGAAGGCAAGCAGUGUCCUAGCCAAAAAUAAUUUGGUGGAGGUGGGGUUCGGGGGUUGUGGGUGGGGGUCAGUCCUCUUUUAAUAAGUGAUAUCUCUCACCCUCCGUGUGGCCAUUAGUUUUCAUUCUCAUUUUCCAAUUUGUACUUUGUGCUUGAUUACUUGAUAGAUAGAAAAGGAAAGACAAAGACAAAAAAAAAAAAAAAAAAGGACCAGAGGCCCACAACCUUGACCUUCUUUCCUCGUUCUUCAAACCCUAAACACAUAAACACAAAAUUAAUCAUAUUAUCUUCAUUAACACCUCCUUUAAUUAAUCACAUUUCUGUGCAUUAAAAUUUAGCCCUACUACUUAAUGUGUGGGACCAACGAAAAACCCAACAAUAAUUGCUUGUGAGUUUGUGCACGUGUGGGGGGUUAUUUUUAGAGAUUUUUAUUCAUAUUCCUUUCUUUUUAUUUGUUGAGUGCCCGAAAUCCAAUGCGCACGAUAGCAACAGAAAUAGUAAAAAUUGGGUUGGAAAUAGUAUGAAUCCACCAUUCUCUCUCUCUCUCUCUCUCUCUCUCUCUCAGAGAAGCGAAGCGUACCGUAACAGUGACAGUGACAGAAUGGCCACGCUGUCGGUGACGUUGGGGUCAAACUAAACGGCUCCGAUUGGUCCACGUCAGCACCACGGACAUGGGCACGUGUUGAUUGCAGCUGCUAGGCCCCACCCCCUCCAACUCAAGACAUCAUCAUUUUUUUGUAUAUCUCCUCAAUUUUUCAGUGCCCAUUUAUUCAAAAUUAGAUGAGAAGCUUAUCAAACUCGGGCCCAUCCGGACCCACCUGGGAAAAAUGAUGUAAAUGUGGGCCCUCAUAUUACCUAGACAAAGAAAGAGGAAUGGGUUGUGAGAGGUGAGAUGGUGACAGUCCGAUAAUCAUAUCAACCCUGAUCAAAGGAAGAAUGAAUGUGUCCAAGUGACAACCGAGCAAUUUUGUUAACGUUUUUUUGUUUAUUAAUUACGACGCUAGAAAGAAAAAAAAAAAAGUAAACGUUACGCAUGCUGGUGAAUGGGUAAGCGACACGUCGUAUAAGCGGUUAACAUUUGACAGCCAUUGAUAAGUAUCGGUGUUUGUGCACGGGAGAAAGUGACGUUAGGCGAAGAUUCACUAUUCUUUUCUUCUUUGCUGGUAAAAGAUCCAAAUAACAGUAAAAACUGAUUAUCUAUCAGUAUAGGUAUUUUCAGUCACAAUUAUUCCUUCAAAUAUGUCUCAAUUCAAUCUUAAUAAAUACUUUUCUAAAUUCCAUCUUUACCCUCGUCUUCAACAUAUCAAUAAAUUCUUAGGUGCAUUGUUAUGGUUUCAAGAAAUCCACUGAGGAAGAAAGAGUGAAGUAUUUCAUCAAAGCACAUAUCUAUCUACUAUAAAUAUAUAACCACAUGCUUCACACAUGUAUAUUUCAAUAAGAGAGUGUAAUGGUCAAGUUUGGAAGUUUGCCAUGGUUAUGGCAAAUCACAAUGCCCACUUUUGUUUUUUUAUUUUUUUUAAUUAUAAUUUUGUGUUGGAAUGAUAACUUGUUCGUUAAGAAUACUAGCCUCUUCGCACGUGCUUCCGCACCGUCGAGAGGCCUUUUUAAAAAAACUUAAAUUUAGUUUAUAAUUAAAAAAAGAUAAUGGAUAGUUGUGUUCCAUAAAAAUAGGAUCAAUUAUCUGAUUUUUCUUUUAAUUUUAAUUUUUUUUAAAUAUGAAAAAGUGUGAAUUUACCAUAUUAUCCUCAUUUAAUUAACAAUUUCAAUUCUUAAUGUUUGCAUUAACCACGAGCAUUUUCUGGUAUUUUGAAUGUUUUACUAUUUUCUGUCUUUGGCUUUAUAUAUAUAGAUUUUAUUCAGAAAUAAAUUUUCACUUAAACAACUCUAGCCCUACUUCUUUGUAUUUUCGCUGAACCAUAGAUGUUUUUCUUGUUGAGCCUCGCUCUUUCUUUCCCUAUCUCUUCCUCUUUAUGUCUUAAGAACUUUCUCUCUUCUACCUAUUUCUCCCUUAUUCACCACUUCCUCUUUUUUGAAGGAUGCAUACACUUUUUAGGUUAAUAAAGCGACAAUCAUGAUAUUGCAUUUAAUCUCUAGGCAACGGAAGCAAUGGAUUAAAACUUUGAGCUUUAAAACAAAUCCAACCCAAGUAUCUUUAAGCCUAAGCUUAGAUUGUUCCAACCAAGACUCUAUACACCAAGAGAGAGGGAAAUGAAAACUUUUUUACCUUUGUAGCACUACCAAUAGGAAACUCUUAGGUUGAUUAGCUAAGGAUGGGCCUUCAACACCAACAAGAAUUUCUCAAGCAGUCCAAAAGAGGGUGCUCUAUGUUUCCACACCAAAGAAAAGAGAAGGAUGAAGAUUAAUCUAGAAGGUUGGAUUUGCUAGAAUCCCCUCCUAGAUGGUUGACCCCUUUAGUAGAGAACGAGAGGAUUUGGUUUGCCUCUUAACUCAAGAACACAAGAGAAAACCCUAAGAUGAGAUGAUACCAUCUUUAUCUAUAUAAAGGGGUUCAAAUAACCCAUGUGGCCUCACCCAAACCCUAUGGCCAGUUUUGGCCUUGUUACUCGUAAGUUUUUAACUACAACUUAACUUACAAGCCCAAUGGGUCCAACCCCGAUGGGCCUUGUGAUCCCAAAAUGAUUUUAGGCCCAAUCCAAAUUUCCCGAGCCGUGAUGAAUUAAUUAAUCCUUGUUCAUCAUCUCCUAAUUAAUUUCAUCUCUAGCCCUUAUGGGUAUACGAUCCAUUAGGUUUUAAUAGGCAAAGGUAGUGGGCAAUUCGAAAUCUUUCUUAAUCGAUUAUGAAUUAAAAAUCCUUUUUAAUUCUCUCUUUAAUGAGGACCCACAUUUAGUAUAUCCUCAAAGUUUCCACAAGUCAUGGGUAACAUCUACAAUCGUGCCAUGACUAUCCAACCCGAUAUAGAAGUGGUAGAGAACCUAUUCAGUUGGAAUUACAGUGUAAUUCGGUCCUUCUCUAACUCAAUGCUCUUGUUCACAUCAUUAAGGCUCCGAAUACAUGUUAAGCCCGUAAUGUAAACUCUUAAGCUUAUAUGAUUCAUAAGAGCAUGAUCAGAAUCUCUAUUCUCAAUCGUAGUCAAUGCUUUGGCUAAAGACUUCUUAAUCAUAUCACCAGAGCAUUCUCUCUCUUUACAGAAGGUAUAGAUCCCUUGUUGUACACUCAUCUACCUCUAUGGAGUGAUCAUGAACCCUAACCAUACCUUGGAGUCAUUCCUUCGAAAGAACUCGACUAUUUAUUCUUAUCAAAGACCCGCAACGCUUCCAUAAGACAGUUGUGAUGCCUUAGGUCAUGGCUAAAUAUCUUAUUUGACUAUGUAGGUAAAACUUCCAUACAAAAUCUCUUGCUUGAUCACGUUGAAUGAAUUCAUUCUCUAAUGAACACCAAUACACCUAUCUUAGUGUCACCUACACAAAUGACUUGAGACCAAUCAUCCUUCCAAUUGAGCAUAUAUGGUGUAUGCCGGUCUUUGUGGAUCGUUAAUGCCUAGUUGGAUGAUCCUAUGACUAAGAACUCUUUAGAGUGUGAGCUAUAGGGAAAGGUGUCCUAGAUCUAACUUCCUUAGAUCUCUUUCCUCAUCUCACAGUCCAUGGACUUGUUGAUUAAGUAAAUAAUAGUUAAUGAGACAUAUACUUAAAUCAACAUCAAUUCCCCUUUAUAUCAACAACGUCUGAAAUAUCCAAAAGUUUACAUAUCAUACUUGGCUUUAGUUCAUAUUUCCAACAUUUUUAUCUUCAACCAAACUGAAAAUAGGCCAAACCAAACCAAAACCGUAUAGGUUCAGUCGGUUCCUCUAGACACUGUGUAUGAAACCCAUGGUACUUUGUAUGAAAACCCAACCAAACCAGAUUGUGCCCAUCCCUAGAUAAUUAUGUACUUUGAAAGUUUAAACUUGCGCAAGAAAACUCAAUUUAACUAGCAUAACUAUCUUACUAAACUAAAUAUACUAUAUGUUGGUAAAAAUAUAAAGAUAAUUGCUAUAUUUACAGAAUUUUGAAAAUAAAACUUCACUAUAAAUUCGAAAUAAAUACAAGAAAAUAACGACAAGGUAAAUGUUAAGAAUACUUUACAGAUGAUUGAGUCUAGAACUUGGUUCUAUCUCCUUAAGAAGAAAUUGCCUCCUCACAGGUGCUUUUAGAAUUUGUUUGGCAAAUGUCUCCCAGGAUACAACAUUGACUUCUUGUUGAAGUAGCACUACAAUCCCCAAGAAAAGCGGACUCAAACUUGUGUAUGAAUUCUCUCUUACUAACUCACUAUAUUUCUUAAAAAAUAUAAUGCUAUGAAUGCUCUAAAGACUACUAUUGUCGAAUACAAUUGGAUGAAUGAAAUGUUGUAGGAUCUUCUCUAUUUAUAGGCAACAAUGUAAAAUCCCACAUCAACCAAUGAAGAGGGGGCGAUGUGCCUUAUAUGUGCACACCCGCAUUCAUCUAGCACGAGGCCUUUUGGGAGCUCACUGGCUUCGGAGUCGUAGGAACUCCGAAGUUGAGGGAGUUGGGGGCUAGAGCAAUCCCAGGAUGGGUGACCCACUAGGAAGUUGCUCGUGAAUUCCCAGAAACAAAACCGUGAGGGCCAGAGAGGGGGGCCCAAAACGGACAAUAUCGUGCUACGGCGGAGCCGAUUCCGGGAUGUGACAAUUUGGUAUCAGAGCCACUCUGCCGUGUGGUGCGAGUGUGCCGACGAGGACGUCGGGCCCUUAAGGGGGGUGGAUUGUAAGAUCCCACAUCAACCAAUAGAGAGGGGGGGAUGUGCCUUAUAUGUGCACACCCGCAUUCAUCUAGCACGAGGCCUUUUGGGAGCUCACUGGCUUCGGAGUCGUAGGAACUCCGAAGUUGAGGGAGUUGGGGGCUAGAGCAAUCCCAGGAUGGGUGACCCACUGGGAAGUUGCUCGUGAGUUCCCAGAAACAAAACCGUGAGGGCCAGAGAGGGGGCCCCAAAGCGGACAAUAUCGUGCUAUGGCGGAGCCGAUUUCGGGAUGUGACAAACAAGGCCUUUAUUCAGAAAAGAUGUGAUUGAAAAAUAUCAACAAAUGUGUCUUUUCAUGUUGCAACCAUAAGCCAAGAAGUGCAAUGUUUCAUUUAUUAUGAAACAAUGCAACUUAGGCCAAGAAGUGCAGUGUUUCAAUUUCUAUGAAACAAUCAAACUUUUCAUAUAUGAAACAAUGCAACUUAAGGCAAGAAGUGCAAUGAAACAAUGCAACUUUUCAUAUAUGAAACAAUGCAACUUAUCACAUAAAGUAUUAUUAUUUUACAAACAAAAUAAAUAAUAUUUUAUUUUUCCUCGGCUAAGAACAUGACUAUUCCCAGUGGAUACAUACCAAUUCAUAAAAUUCAUGUACUUAAAGUCACAAGUCCCAAAAUUUUAAUUUUCAUUAAAUUAUUAAAAAAUUAAAUAUAAAUAUUAUAAUUUUCUAACAUUAUAUUAGAUGUAUUAUAAAGAGUUAUUCUAUGUUAAGGGAUCUCUUAGCUUAAUAAUAUUCCAUACAUUUGUCCUAGGGUUUCUCCCACAAUGUAGUUCAACAACUGGAACCGUCUAUGUUUUAAAUUAUUCUUCAAAGGUCAUCCUUAGAAAAAAACUAUCCAAAUAGGAAAUUGUUUGGUCAUCUACACAAAAGACACAUUCAUUAGAUAAACUUGGAACUAGCUAAUCAAAUAAUUAAACAAUUUCCAAUUUAGUUGAUUUUUUUGGAUAAUCCUUGAAAGAGAACGUUAUAAUUGAAUUGUUCCGAUCAUUGGAUUACAACCCAAAAGUAAGAUGUAUUUAUUUAUCUUAAAUAUGGAGAUCCUUACUAGGUAAAGCCUUUUGCCAUUUGCCCAUAUGAUAUAUGUUCUCAUAGUUACUAACAAACUAAUAUAUAUGAGUGAUGUUAUUGCACCUACGAAGGUCAUCAAAUCCAUAAAAGUGUUCGGGUCCUCCAAAUGGUGAGGGAGGGUGAGGAAAUAGGUUAAGAGUCUUAAAAACCUAGGGUUUUCCUUAAUAGCCGCAUGUACUAUAGAAGGGGGUUCUUCCACCCAUUAAGUAGUGAUAAUUGUUGUCUUUUAUAGUUAAUAACAUAUUUAGGGUUGGAAUAGUGGUACUUUGUAGUUCAAUUUUUUUUUUAAUUUUAAAUUUAAAUUUAAAUUUUUUAAUCGGGGAAGGGUGGUCAUUUUAUCAGGAAGGCUAUUAUGGUGAAAUGUUCAAAUAGUCCAAAUAGGCCCUAAUUUAAUAAGUAUUUUCAAAACACAACUAUUUCAAUUUAAAAAGGCAAAUAUGUAAAACAAUAUUAUAUUACAAUAUAAAUAAUAAUAAAAAAUUCCGUGUCCACAUAAAAAACAUAUUUUAUUUUAAGAUAAAAUAAACAAAAAAAGUUAAAAACUACUAUAUAAAUAAAACUAAUAACAUUAUAAAUCUUAAAAUAGUAAAACAAAAGGCUUAUUUUCAUAUUUUUUUUGAGUUUAUUGUCCAAAUUUGAAUUUCCACAUUUACACCUCAUGUUCGUAUGUGUACGCAGUGAUUGUUUUUUUUUUCUUGUCUUGUUUUUGUUUUGUGUACAAAGUUUUAGUAUUCUUUUAAGCUAUACUUAGCUAAGUUUAUCACAUUAAGCAAUAAGUUAUUUGGUGAAAAUAAGGAGAAGGAGAUUGGUAAAAUGCUAUUUGGUAAAUUUUUCAGACUAGAUAUUUAGUAUGUUUAUGUUAUUUUUAUACAAGCGAGGGAAGAUGAAUCAAAUACAUAACCUAACGUGCAUGGGUAAAUACUCUUAAUCACUUGAGUUGCAAGCUGCAAUCCUAUUGUAUAUUAUGUAAACAAAAUAUUGUUAGUGAGAUAAUAUAAUCUCCACUGCGUACUUAUCUCUUAACUUAAGAGCAUUCACCUCCGCACUCGAGGUCCUAAGUUUAAUUCCACCAUUCUGAAUAUUGCUUUUAUAAAAAAAAAUAAAAACAAAAAAAUUAUUUAGUAGGAUAAUUUUAUAAUUUUAAAUUACAGUAAUAAGAAGGUAAAAUAAGAUUUUUGUAUCCGUUAAAAUUCAUAGUUUCUUUGUAUUUUUGUAUAAGAUAAAAAUGAAAAGAAAUGCAAUAUAAUAUGAUAGGUCUGAAACAUUUAAAAAAUAAAUAAACAUAAAUAAAAAAAAAAUACAAAAGACACAUAUCGUAAAAUGAGUCAUCUCAAUAACAAUAUAGCACAAGAAUAACAAAGCUUAAAAAAGAAAAAGAAGUCCAUAUAAAAUUGACCAGAUCCCUUAAUUUUUGUAUUUGAUAAGACCAGAUCCCUUAAUUAAAAAAGUGCCAAUAAAUUAAGAGGCUGGAAUCUUCAUUAAUCGACAGUGAUGGAUGUAUCAUUGGUUUUGAUCUCUCAGUUCAUCUCACGUACGCAGAAAGAAAGCCAUAAAGCUAGAGAGACAAGCAGAUAAUAGUCCCCAUAAUUAAGCCUUGAGGAGAGAGAGAGAGAGAGAGAGAGAGAGAGUGGUUUUCUUAAACUCCUCCAUUACAGAAACAAAGGAAAAAGAUAACUGAGAGUUAAAAGAAUGAUUGAUAAUAAAAGAAGAAGAAGAAGAAGAAGAUUAAAAGGUGAUUUUAAAGAAAAAAAGUAGAGAGAGAGUGUAAAUUCAGACAAACAGACAGGCAGAGAGAGAGAGAGAGUCACAUGGCAUGUGAGCAAUCCCUGUGUCCACUCCCUCCACUUGAUAAAUACCCUUCUUACCUUCCUCAUUCCGACUUUUGACUCUCUCUCUCUCUCUCUCUCUCUCUCUCUCUCUCUCUCUAUCUAAACCAGCAGGUAUAGCUUCUGAGCUCUCUCUAAUGGCAGACCUCAGAACAUAAAACCAAAACCAUUUCUCUUAGCACCUCAAAACUGCACUUACAAAAUGAAACUCCACAAAGCUAUUUCACAGCACCACACUCACUUCUCCUUCCCCUUCCUUCUCCUUCUUCUUCACUUACUCUUUCUCCAAGCCUUCUCUGCAUCACGCCCAGCAUCCUCAUCUUCUUCGUCUUCUGCUUACAGAGACACCCAGAAGCUCCUCAACUUCAAAUACUCUCUUCCAAGCCCAACCCUUCUCCCCAACUGGCUCCCCAACCAAAACCCAUGUGCCUUUAAUGGUAUUUCCUGCAAGCAAACCGGGGUUUCCUCCAUAGACCUCAGCGGCACCGCCUUAAACACCAAUCUCACCCUUGUCUCCACUUUCUUGAUGACACUUGAUUCUCUUGAAUUUCUCACUCUAAAAUCAACUUCUCUCUCUGGCUCCAUCUCUUUCCCUCCUAAAUCCAAGUGCAGCCCUCUCCUCACCACCAUAGAUCUAGCUGAGAACUCCUUGUCAGGCCCAAUAUCUGAUGUCUCCAGCUUGGGUGCUUGCUCUGCCUUGAAGUUUCUCAAUCUCUCUUCAAACUCUCUUGAUUUCUUCACCAAGGACUCUACUGGGUUCAGGCUCAGCCUCCAGGUUCUUGAUCUUUCAUACAACAAGAUUUCCGGCCCAAACGUGGUCCCUUUGAUAUUAUCCAACGGUUGUGGUGACUUGCAGCAACUGGUUUUGAAAGGGAACAAGAUAUCAGGGGAGAUGAGCAGUGUUUCUAGCUGCAAGAAAUUGGAGCACUUAGACUUGUCCUCCAACAAUUUCUCUGUUUCCGUUCCUUCUUUUGGUGAUUGCUUGGCUUUGGACCACCUUGACAUCUCUGGAAACAAGUUUUCAGGCGACAUUGGGCGUGCUAUAUCUGCCUGCAGCCAGCUCACUUUCUUGAACCUCUCUGUCAACCACUUCUAUGGUCAAGUUCCAGACAUGCCCACAAAGAAGUUGAAGAUUCUUUCACUUGCAGGAAAUGGGUUUCAAGGUACAUUUCCUAUGAACUUAUUGGAUACUUGUGCAGAGCUUGUGGAGCUCGAUCUUUCGUCCAAUAGCCUUACCGGUACGGUUCCUGAUGCUUUGACCUCUUGUACUUUGUUGGAGUCCUUGGACCUGUCCAGAAAUAAUUUAUCUGGUGAAUUGCCUAUUGAGAUUUUGAUGAAGCUUAGCAACUUAAAGGCUGUGUCUCUUUCUUUGAACAAUUUUUUUGGUCGUCUGCCUGAUUCUCUGUCCAAGCUUGCAACUUUGGAGAGUUUGGAUCUCAGUUCCAACAAUUUGUCUGGGCCAAUUCCUGUUGGGCUCUGUGGAGAUCCCAGGAACAGCUGGAAGGAGUUGUACCUUCAGAACAAUCUGUUCAUUGGUACUAUUCCUCCAACUCUGAGCAACUGUUCUCAGCUGGUUUCUCUUGAUUUGAGCUUCAAUUACCUCACGGGCACUAUCCCUUCAAGCUUGGGGUCUCUGUCGAACCUUCGUGAUUUGAUCAUUUGGUUGAAUAAGCUUAGUGGGGAAAUCCCACAAGAGCUAACGAACCUUGGGUCACUUGAGAAUCUUAUUCUAGACUUCAAUGAGCUGACUGGGUCCCUUCCUGUUGGGCUAAGCAACUGCACCAGUUUGAAUUGGAUUUCAUUGUCAAACAACAAGUUGAGCGGUGAGAUUCCUGGGUGGAUUGGGAAGCUUACAAAACUUGCAAUACUCAAACUCAGUAACAACUCAUUCUAUGGAAACAUUCCUCCGGAGCUCGGUGACUGUAAGAGCUUGAUAUGGUUGGAUCUCAAUACCAACUUCUUGAAUGGUACAAUCCCGCCUGCGCUUUUCAAACAGUCUGGCAACAUUGCAGUGAAUUUUAUUGUUUCCAAAACGUACGCAUAUAUCAAGAAUGAUGGUAGCAAAGAGUGCCAUGGAGCAGGGAAUUUGCUCGAGUUUGCGGGGAUCAGAGACGAGCAUCUGAACAGGAUUUCGGCAAGAAAUCCUUGCAACUUCACUAGAGUGUACAGAGGUAUGAUCCAACCAACGUUUAACCACAAUGGGUCUAUGAUUUUUCUUGAUCUUUCACAUAAUUUGUUAUCCGGUAGCAUUCCCAAAGAGAUCGGGAAGAUGUACUAUCUCUAUAUUUUGAAUUUGGGCCAUAACAACAUAUCUGGUUCAAUCCCAGAAGAGCUUGGAAAAUUGAGAAGCGUUAACAUUCUUGAUCUCUCUAGCAAUAUUCUUGAGGGAACUAUUCCACAGGCUCUGACUGGCCUUUCCUUGCUCAUGGAGAUUGAUCUAUCAAACAACCAUUUAUCUGGAAUGAUUCCAGAGUCGGGUCAAUUUGAGACAUUCCCUGCCUACAGAUUCAUCAACAAUUCAGGCCUCUGUGGCUACCCUUUAUCUCCAUGUGGCGGAGCUUCUGGGCCAAAUGCAAAUGCGCAUCAAAAGUCUCAUCGACGACAAGCAUCCCUGGUGGGCAGUGUGGCAAUGGGAUUGCUCUUCUCCCUUUUCUGCAUCUUUGGUUUGCUUAUUGUUGCCAUCGAAACCAAGAAAAGGCGAAAAAAGAAGGAUUCAGCCCUUGAUGUUUAUAUCGACAGUCGUAACCAAUCAGGCACUGUCAAUGGCUGGAAGCUACCUGGCACUAAGGAAGCGUUAAGCAUCAACCUUGCCACAUUUGAGAAGCCCCUUCAAAAGCUCACUUUCGCAGACCUUCUUGAGGCCACCAAUGGUUUCCAUGACGACAGCCUUAUAGGCUCUGGUGGUUUUGGUGAUGUAUACAAGGCCAAACUGAAAGAUGGCAGCAUUGUAGCCAUCAAGAAAUUGAUACACAUCAGUGGACAGGGUGAUCGUGAAUUCACUGCUGAAAUGGAAACAAUAGGGAAGAUCAAACACCGAAACCUUGUUCCCCUCCUUGGAUACUGCAAAGUAGGAGAAGAACGGCUUUUGGUUUAUGAGUACAUGAAGUAUGGAAGUUUAGAUGAUGUUUUACAUGAGCCAAAGAAAGCUGGCAUCAAGCUGAACUGGGCUGCAAGGAGGAAAAUUGCGAUUGGGUCUGCGAGGGGACUGGCCUUUCUUCACCACAAUUGCAUCCCACACAUCAUUCAUAGGGACAUGAAAUCGAGCAACGUGCUGCUCGAUGAAAAUUUGGAAGCCAGAGUCUCUGAUUUUGGAAUGGCAAGGCUUAUGAGUGCAAUGGACACCCAUUUGAGCGUGAGCACUCUAGCAGGCACACCUGGUUAUGUCCCUCCUGAAUACUACCAGAGCUUCAGAUGUUCUACGAAAGGUGAUGUUUAUAGUUAUGGUGUAGUAUUGCUUGAGUUGCUGACAGGAAAGCGUCCUACAGAUUCAGCAGAUUUUGGUGACAAUAAUCUUGUGGGUUGGGUAAAACAACAUGCAAAAUUGAAAAUAAGUGAUGUUUUUGAUCCAGAGCUCAUGAAAGAGGACGAGAGCGUUGAGAUUGAGCUUUUACAGCAUUUAAAGGUAGCUUGUGCUUGUUUGGAGGAUAGGGCAUGGCGGCGUCCCACAAUGAUUCAAGUCAUGGCAAUGUUCAAGGAAAUCCAAACAGGGUCCGGGAUUGACUCUCAAUCAACCAUAGCCACUGACGACGGAGGUUUUGGUGCAGUUGAAAUGGUAGAGAUGAGCAUAAAAGAAGUCCCUGAAAGCAAGCAGUAGCCCAAAAAGCCAAGCCAAUUUUCAAAUGAAUUCUUUGGAAGAAAGAAG
rnacentral:lncRNA from 1 species